CAACACUCUUGCGCCUGGCCCGGUGGGUUCGAUUCCCUUUC
rnacentral:tRNA from 15 species